AUAAACAGUAAAUAGUGCAUUUUGAUUCCUUAUUACUAUUGUUUUUAACAUAAUUUGCUUCAUUAGACAUUUAUAUAAUUUAAUGUUAAAUAAUGACUAUUCAUGAAAAGUUAAUGGUUGGCUCUUGCUGGCUGCUGAAAAUGGGUACGAGGACAUGACUACUCAGUGGGGAAAAUAUUAGAAAAAUUUUCCUUAAAAUCGGGAAGAAGACCCAGUGGCUUGGGAGGCUGAGUCAGGAGGAUCACAAUUCAAAGCCAGCCUCAGCAACUUCUCAAAUGUCUGAGCAACUUAGUGAAACACUGUCUCAAAAAGGAAAAAGGCUGAUAAAGACUUUGGCUGUGACUCAGUGGUUCAGCACCCCUGGGUUUAAACCCAUACACACACACACACACACACACACACACACACUCACACAUAUCUAUUGUAAUAGGACCCAUUUAAAAUUAGAAGCCCCAAGUACCAUUUAAGUACUAUUUUUCCUUCAUAUUAUUUAUUUUCUGGUAAAACUAUUUUCUCUGUCCCAGAUUCCUAGAAGUCAUCAUCUCAUGCAGAGAAUGGAAGCUAAAAUUGCUGUCCUCCAAAGUUGUGGUGUCCACAAAGGCAGAAAUGAAAUCAUGACACUUCCCUGGCCUGGCCCAGCAUGGCCGACUCUACAUGUGCAUAUUUCCUGGCUCUUUCUUUUCCUAUAAAUCGUUACAUUUCUAUAAAGCAUCAAAGGCAGAUUAGCUGUUUUCCCGGAUUUGGCCAAACUGUGAUUCGUUUUCUGUGGGAGACCAACCUCGACGUGACUGACUUAACUCCUCUGCUGGGCGAUGUGGCAUCAGGCACCCAUGCUGCUAGACUACCCCACUCUUCUAGGGUUCAAGUGACUGUGUCUUCCUACAGCUUCAAGGGUGAAGCUAUGCUCACCUGUUCCUUUGUAAUAUAAUCCCUUACCCAGUUUAGGAUAGAAUGUUCCAUGGAAGUGCCUGUGUUUGUCCCCUUCUCUUACUGUGUCCUUAGGUGUGGCCUACCCAGAUGUCAAUCAACCUGCUGACAGUGGACAUCAUGAAGAUAGACUCAGCCCCCUGAAACCUGACCCCUUGCCUCAUUUGAAUAGCUUCUCCUCAAUAAAAGGUGUAAGCACAUUCUCUCUCUCUCUCUCUCUCUCUCUCUCUCUCUCUCUCUCUCUCUCCCUCCCUAUGGACCUUUGAGGUCAGAGGAGCCGUCACAGCAACCCCAAAGAAAAAGGAAUCUGUGUCUCUUGUGUGUUAUUUUGCGCAGACCAGUCAGCCCAGUUUACCUGGAGUGACUCCUGAGCUUUUUAGUCGCAAACAGAAACCUGGCAGUUGUACCUUUUUAUGUAAUUUCCUCCUAACUAUGAUGUGGGUGAGCAACUGAAUCCAGCUCACCUGGACCCUGGCGGCCUCUGGCCUGGGUAACAUUCUCAGUACCCAGGAGCAAUUUCACUGGAGUAGCACUUUUCAUUUCCUAUAGGAAGCUGUCCUCUGCAUUUCCAGCUUGGCUGCUUGGCAUGGCUUUUGGCCUGUCUUGACUUUCCACAUGCCUUCUGCGUUGAGCUUGACCAUGUGUAGCUUUUGAUUUAAAAAUGAGAGACUAGGAACUCUUCCUUUUACUUAAACACUGUGAGGUAAUUGUAUAGAUUCUAAUUGCCCUAAUUUUUUAAGCAAAUGAUACCAUAUUUUAUUUGUAAAAUGAGAAUAAUAUUUGUAAAGCAAUUGGCACAUAUCUGGAAUAUGGCAGGUUCCUAAUAAAUAGAAUGUAUUGCUAAGAUUAUGGCCAGAAUUAUCAGCGCCUUCAUGCUAACAGGUUUCUACCUCAGAGGAUAAAGAGGCCUAAGGACAGGGAAAGGUGAAGAACACCAGUCCGUGGGGACUCAGAACACAGAUGGCGCUUACUAAGUUCACCAUCUCAUGAGUGCAGCUUGUUAUGCCCCAAACAACUACAAAAGUCACAUCAAAGAUCACAGAUCAUCAUAAUAUAUGGGAUCAUAAUGAGAAAGCUUGAAAUAUUGCAAGAAUUGCCAAAAUGUAACAGAGAGACCCAGGAAGGAAACACUCGCUGCUGGAAUAACGUGCCUACAGAAUUUUCAGCAAGGGGUUGCUACAAACCUUCAAUUUGUAUAAAAAUAAAUGUCUUUUUUCAAAGUGUAUUAAAGCAAAGUACAGUGAAGCAAGGCAUGCUUUCAUUGUCCUCAGGACUCCGGGCCAUUUUCUGAUUUGGUCGGCCUGAAUGCCCCAACUCAGCCCCAGUUAACUCCAUGUGUAUGUUCAGCAUGGAGCCUUAAUAAACCAAGGGGCUUCCUAAGUUCAUAAGUGGCUGAUUAAAAAAAAAGGCACAAUUGGUCAGAUCUUCUAGGACAUGUGCCUUCUCUGCCAUAAUUGUUCAUCUGUUAAUCAGUUGACUUUUCUUCAACAACAUUUCAAAUGAGGACAUUUACUUUGCACAAUAAAUGAGCUUGGAUGUCCUAAGAUACUGUGUUCUUUGGUAUGAGGAGUUGAAGGCUUUCCCAUAACUUAAGGUGUAUUCCUAAAUUUCACUCACCUAAGAAGCCUCUUCCUUUUGGAAUAGAGUCCAUAAUUUUGAAUAUGUAUUCAAUUUGUUUGGUUGUUUUCAGAUGUAAAAUGCAGUUCAGCUGUGGAUGAAGUCACUCCUCAAGGAAAAAAUAUCAAUGUGAAACAGAAUACCAAUUAAAAAACAUAAUUUAGAAAAAAAGUAUCUGAACAAAUAAACUUUUAGCGAUGGGUCCUGCAGACCCAAACCCCUUUGCUGAAGAGUGUGAUCAGGCAGGUGUCAGUUUUGGAAUUUCUGAGCAUUUAGAAAUGUAUUUCAUGUACUAAUUAAUAUCUCAAAGGCAAGCACAUAGCAAAGCAUAGGAAUACUUACCCAAGUGACAGGAAUAAAGGCCAUUCAUAGCCUCAUGCCCCUUUUUGAUAAGGAGUUAUGAUCCAUCUUUUUCUCAUAGAUUUUGGAAUUGUAGAGGAGAGAUUUUUGGCAUUUGGUAGUAGAUGAAGUUAGCAUAGAGUACAGUUAGGACCAGAGGAAAAAAUUAGGACAGGGAACGUAUCCAAGAUACUUUGAGGCUGGAUAAUGGAUAUUUAAUUUGACCUUAUUUUAAAAUAUGUAAAAGUUCAUAUCCUAGAGAGGAAGUCUCCCUCUUGGGAUACAGGUUAGGGCAACAAGGCUUUGAGCCAGGGACCAGCAGCCAAUCAGUGGGGUUGACCCCACCCCGACAACCCUGAGCAGGUGCUCAGAUAGUAUCUUAAGGUCUGCAGAAAAUGUUUGGUAGGAUGUAAAUGAGAUGCAGGAACAAAAUGACAAUCAGGAUGUGUAAAUAUGGAAUGGCAUGCAGAGUGGCCCCACAGAUGUCCAUCCCUAAUGUGUGGCACCUGUGAAUAGGUGACAACCACAGAAAAAGGGACUUUUUACACUUGAGUGAGGUUAGGAAGGUGACCCUGGAUGACCAUGUUGAUCUAGCCUAAGCAUGUGAGCCCUUCAAAGCAGAAAACUUUCUCUACCUCUUAGCAGAAGAAGACAAGGAGAUACAGCAGGAGGACCCAAGAUCCGUACCAUUCAAGAGUCUCCACCCAUCACUUGCGGAGGGGCCUCUAGGAAAAGAGAAGGAAUAAGGGGAAACAUCUAGCAGCUGAGAGACCUGCCAAGCCCCUGACAGCCAUCAGACCUACAACAGCAAGGAUCGACCAAUAUCCAGUCACCCACGUGAGCAUGCUAGGGACGGCAGAGCAGGAGAGCAGGUCACCUGCUGGCAUUUGAAUCCACUCCCACACCCUGAGGAUGAGGGUGGCUGGCUGGUCCUGAACAGUUUGUACAAACAGAGGGGUUGACACUCAACACCUGCUUUCCUUCUGGAACUCCAUUUUUGUGCUGGCAACUGAACCCAGAACCUCAAACAUGUGAAGCAAAUGCACCAGGGCUAAACUCUGUCCCCACCAUUUUAUUCAUUGUGUGUGGUUAUUUUUUUUUUUCUUUUUCAGAACGGGGGAUUGAACUCAGGGGCCCUCGACCACUGAGCCACAUCCCCAGCUCUUUUUUUUUUUUUUUUUGUAUUUUAUUUAGAGAUGGGGUCUCACUGAGUUGCUUAGCACCUCACUUUUGCAGAGGCUGGCUUUACAUUCAAAAUCCUCCUGCCUCAGCCUCCCAAGCUGCUGGGAUUUCAUGCGUGCACCACCGCACCUGGAAUGUUAUUCAUUCUUAAUCAACAUUUAUCUCAACCCUGGCAAGGACUUGGUUUUCUUUGAACUAGCUCAACAUUAAUAUCUACUUCUGAUCUUAUAUCUGGCACCUGCUUCUUUGAGGCCAGACCUAAAAAUUCUUACAAAUUCCAUUCUGUUUUGCUAUUUUGGUUAUUGUUAGAGAAUGAGUUCUUGAUACAAUUAACACCAACAUUUAUUGAUGAACUAAUAAGAGCUUCAGAGAUUUAGAAAAAAAAAUAGACCUCAGUCUGUUUGUUUAUAAUAAGUAACAGAGUUCUAACAAAAUUCUACUGAGGACAAUUUAUUACUCCUGAUAAUGAUCAUUCUGUGGCCUCAAGCCUUAUUGGUAAGCAAUAUGUUAAGAAGAAGUGGCUUUUAAGCUAACACCCUUCCUCUUACCAUGGAAAUUGAGGAAAAAGAAAAAGGUAUCCAAUAUCCUUAGCCUGAAUUAAAUGAAGCUAAACUGUGCACCUUGUUAUUGUGGUAAAAUAUACAUUAGCACAAACUUUUCCCACUUUAGCUGAUUUUGAUUUUAAGUCUCCAGUUCUGCUGCACUGAGUCCAUCCACCCUGCUGUGCAGCUGUCUCCUCCACCCAGAGGAGAACUGUUUCAUCUUCCUAAACUCCUCUGUUAAUUCAGAGGAGUAUCCACUGAACACUAGCUGCCCCUUCUCCCCUCACCCACCCCCUGGCAACCAUCUACACUAUAUUUUCAAUAAAAAAUCAAUUUCUUCUCC